UACAGAGUAACUAGGAGCACAAAAUUAAUCAGAGAAGCAGUGUAUGCCAGCAAAAAGCUGCCAUAGAAAAAAAAGCAUAUGUCUUCCUUCAAAAGAAAAAUCUGCCUUUUUGCAGCUACAGAGAAUUGAAAACAAAUUUGAUCAUCAAAUGUGGAGUUGUGCCAAAUCACAGGCAGCCAGAAGAAAGCUCUGGCAUGAAGAAAGCUUGGAAUUUGGUCACACUGCAGAACAUGAGAGCGAUGGAGAUGAGACAGCUUGGACUGAGAAAAGGAGCAACGAGAUUCCUCCGGCCUGCAGAAGGGGAAAGCGUGCCGCCCUGCCUGCUGCUUGGUCUCAGCCCGGUUCCUCUGAGAGCUCUGGCUCAUCCGGAGCGAUGCCUCUCGCCCGGGAGGGAUGCUCGCGCUCGGCACGCUGCGGUCCGGCCGGCCGGGAGGCCGAGGAUGGAGCGGGCGCAGCCGGCACGUGGU